rnacentral:rRNA from 1 species
GCUUGUCUCAAAGAUUAAGCCAUGCAUGUCUAAGUACAAGCCUCAGUAAGGUGAAACCGCGAAUGGCUCAUUAAAUCACACCUAAUCUACUGGAAAGUUACUAGUUACUUGGAUAACUGAGGUAAUUCUUGAGCUAAUACAUGCGAAAAAUCUCGACUCACGGAGAGAUGCUUUUAUUAGAUCAAAACCAAACGGCUUCGGCCGUCUCAUUGGUGACUCUGAAUAACUGUGCGGAUCGCGUUUUACGCGAUAAAUCGAUUGAGUUUCUGCCCUAUCAGCUUUGGAUGGUAGGAUAUGGGCCUACCAUGGCAUUAACGGGUAACGGGGAAUUAGGGUUUGAUUCCGGAGAGGGAGCCUUAGAAACGGCUACCACAUCCAAGGAAGGCAGCAGG